GGACACAGGACCUGGCUGGUCAGGCUCCAGUUCCUCUGGUCAUCUUGAGCCCUAUGCUCUGCCCAGCUCAUGGCCUCUGGUGCCAGGACUGCACCCUGACCACCAACUCCAGCCAUUGCACCCCGAAGCAGUGCCAGCCAUCGGACACUGUGUGUGCAAGUGUCCGGAUCACCGACCCCAGCAGCAGUAAGUUGGGAUCAGGGUGGGGGUGAGGUUGUUGAAGGCAGACUCUGGGGAGAGGUCAGAGGUGUGGUUCUCCGAGCCGCCCUGGGCUGGGAUGAGUACGGGUUUGCCGGUAGGAUGCAGCCCAGGUUUUCCCUCCUUGGCUCCUUAGGACCCCUUUCUCUGUAGAUCCCAGCUUCGGUGGGUUGAAGGCCUCAGCUCUGUGGCCCUGGCCCCAAACUGACCUGGAGGGUCUUGGGGACAAAGCAGAGGGUCCAGGUGGAGCUCCAGUCCCAGUCCCUUGUCUCCCCAGGCAGGAAGGAUCACUCCGUGAACAAGAUGUGUGCGUCCUCCUGUGACUUCGUCAAGCGGCACUUUUUCUCAGACUAUCUGAUGGGGUUCAUUAACUCUGGGAUCUUGAGAGUCGACGUGGAGUGCUGUGGGAAGGACUUGUGCAACCAGGCAGCCGCUGUGGGGUGCAGCCCCUGGGCCCUGGCUGGGGGGCUCCUGCUCAGCCUGGGGCCUGCCCUCCUCUGGGCUGGGCCCUGAGGUCCCUCCUUCCCGCAGGGUUCUGAGCUUGUUCCCCUGAGUCCGGCUGGCACUGCCUCACCCCAGGCUGGUCUGACCCAGGCGGGGACACCACUGGCCAGUACUGUGGUCUGUGGCUCUCACCUUCCCUAUGUGAGACCUCCUGCCUUUUCACCAGUUCAAUGUCCCAGGCAGCUGGAUUUCUCCAGGACACCUGGUGUCUGGGCAGGAGGCUGGGGACUGGGGUUGAGGGCAGGAGCUGGGACCCCAAGGUCCCCUAGGGGAAGUGAGGCCAAGCCAGGCACAGCCCAGAAGCCUGGCCUGAAGGGCAUCGUCUACAGAGAAAUAAAGUCACUUCUGAGUCCUGAGGCUCGGGUCUGAGCCUGGGUGUGAUGGGCGGGCAGGUCCUGGCGGAGAACAUGGAGGGGCU
rnacentral:lncRNA from 1 species